AUAAAAUCCCCUAGAACCUUAAAACUCCGGCGAAAGCUCAACAAUGGAGGGACGAAGGUGACAUGGAAUUCUCUCAACAAACUCCCAAUAAAACGCCUUGAAAUCAUCGAAGAAUCCGGCGCCGAACAACUCUCUCCCGAAAUCGAAUACCAAGAGAAAACGGUGAACUCGAUUCGGCGAAUCGACUCCGCCGUCCACGUGGCAAGGAUUGAUUGAGAAUUUUAGAGUUGAAGCUAAUGAUGCAGUUACUAUGGCUCAUAUGAAUUGGCCAAAACCAUUUCUUUAUGAAACCUUGUCCGACCUUGCAAUAUCUGUUGCAAAGAAGCUACAGUGUUUUCGGGUAUCCUCAUUGUUAAUCUUUUUGUAUAUUUCACCUUACUCUAUCAAUACCCCAUUAGUGUCUAUGUUACUACAACUUAAUACUUAUUCCCUGCUUAAAAUUGAAAGAUGUAUCAUAAUAGUUCUAUCUUAAGGUCUAAAAAGUUGUAGUUUACAUGAACGUUUUCUUGUAAGAGUAAGGUCAGUAAACCAAAUUUAUUCUGCUUCUUGUUA